GACACGGCCCAGACUCCUACGGGAGGCAGCAGUGAGGAAUAUUCCGCAAUGGGCGCAAGCCUGACGGAGCGACGCCGCGUGGGGGAAGAAGGCCUUCGGGUUGUAAACCCCUUUUGCACGGGAUGAGAUGCCCUUUCGGGGGCUGGGACAGUACCGUGCGAAUAAGCCUCGGCUAACUACGUGCCAGCAGCCGCGGUAAUACGUAGGAGGCGAGCGUUGUCCGGAUUUACUGGGCGUAAAGCGCGCGCAGGCGGCAGUGCAAGUGCUCAGUGAAAUCUCCCUGCUCAACGGGGAGGGUGCUGAGCAGACUGCACAGCUGGAGGACGGUAGAGGGGGGUGGAAUUGCCGGUGUAGCGGUGAAAUGCGUAGAUAUCGGCAGGAACACCCGUGGCGAAGGCGGCCCCCUGGGCCGAUCCUGACGCUGAGGCGCGAAGGCCGGGGGAGCGAACGGGAUUAGAUACCCCGGUAGUCCCGGCAGUAAACGAUGGCCACCAGGUGUGGGAGGUGUUGACCCCUUCCGUGCCGAAGCCAACGCAUUAAGUGGCCCGCCUGGGGAGUACGGCCGCAAGGCUAAAACUCAAAGGAAUUGACGGGGACCCGCACAAGCAGCGGAGCGUGUGGUUUAAUUCGAUGCGACGCGAAGAACCUUACCCGGGCUUGACAUGCACUCGCAACACCCCGAAAGGGGUGCCUCCUUCGGGACGGGUGCACAGGUGCUGCAUGGCUGUCGUCAGCUCGUGUCGUGAGAUGUUGGGUUAAGUCCCGCAACGAGCGCAACCCUCGUCCUCAGUUGCACAUCUGGGGAGACUGCCGGUCACAAACCGGAGGAAGGUGGGGAUGACGUCAAGUCAGCAUGGCCCUUACGUCCGGGGCUACACACACGCUACAAUGGGCCGUACAGCGAGACAGGCGCAAGCCGGCCACCCCGCGAGGGGGAGCAGAUCUCUGAAAGCGGCCCUCAGUUCAGAUUGCAGUCUGCAACCCGACUGCAUGAAGGCGGAGUUGCUAGUAACCGCGUGUCAGCACAGCGCGGUGAAUAUGUUCCCGGGUCUUGUACACACCGCCCGUCACGUCAUGGGAGCCGGCAACACCUGAAGUCCGUGCGCCAACCCGCAUGGGAGGCAGCGGCCGAGGGUGGGGCUGGUGACUGGGACGAAGUCGUAACAAGGUAGCCGUAGCGGAAGCUGCGGCUG
rnacentral:rRNA from 1 species